rnacentral:lncRNA from 1 species
UGGCAGAGCCAGUGAUGGAAGCCAGAAGGAGUCCUGAUUUCUAGUAGAAAGAUGCACAGGCAAAAGAGAGACAAGAAGCAAACAGAAUCGGCUCUUACAGCAGCAAUUCAGGAUUCUGGUGCAGUGCCCUAAGAUCAUUUUCAUAGCUGGGUAAGAAUGAUAUGUUGUAAAUGUAUAACUCAUAGGCUGAGAUGUCAACAACAACAAAAAUGGAUAUGGGGUUACACCAACUGUUUCUCAGGAUAGGGUGCACCUGUUUUAAAAGGAAAAAUGUCUAAAGAAUUUGUUCUCCUAUUUCAUAUCUCUUGACCUUUUCAACCAUUAACUUCACAAUGCUAAUAAGUCACAAACCAAGUUUAAAUGAAUCUAUUUUGGAAGUGCACUGGACAUUUGCUCAUCCAUACCAAAUAAAGUCCUUUUAAAAAUUUAAGGUUAUUUUGCACACAUAAAACUGAAAAACCCAUGUGGAGAGGGCUGAAUACUUAAUACCAAAAUUGUAUAACUGUUGCCUCAGAAGUAAUACUGUUUUUGGCAA